UGAGUAUUUAUUGUUAUGCAGUGUUUUCACCAGUUGAAAUUAACUCCUUGUAAAUGUUCUCAAGAAAUAAGAGUAGAUUUCUGUUUAUUCUUUGCAAGUCAAAAGCGUGAAUUGUUUCAGUAACAUUU
rfam:Erinaceus europaeus unplaced genomic scaffold scaffold00713, whole genome shotgun sequence